UAAAAAGCCCCAUCAUAGGAAGGACUAUGGAAGAAAGGAAAAAGCUUUAUAGUUCACUACUCUUCACAGCACUUUUCUUGCUGCUUUUUUCAGAAGAGGUUGCAUUUUCACUUUGCACUAGACCCGACAAUUUAUGUAGCUGAUGCUGGUACCAGAAGAAUCUGAGCAGGAAACGAAUCUGGUCAAAGCACGUGGUUGGAUUUUCGUGACCCAGUGCUUCCAAAAGGCCAAACCUCACCUCUGCUCCACCUGCCCCCACUCUUGGAUCCAGCAGCCUCACACUUCCCAGGCCUCUGCCCUGACAUCUGCCUCCCUAGAAGGAUGAAGAGCAGUAGCGCCUGGAAUUCCAACCAUCUGCCACAGUCUUGCAUGGCACAGGUGAGUUUUGUGGGAGAUGGGGUGGGGUGGAGAGUAGACAACGUUUCUGGCAUUUUCACAAAUGGCCACUCUGAUGCUGGCCUCUCGCUCUGUCCUGCCAGCAAAGGGUCAGACUAGGUGGUGGC
rnacentral:lncRNA from 1 species